AGAGUUUGAUCCUGGCUUAGGAUGAACGCUAGCGGCAGGCUUAACACAUGCAAGUCGAGGGGCGGCGGGAUGUAGCAAUACAUUGCCGGCGACCGGCGGAUGGGUGCGUAACGCGUAUGCAACCUACCUUAUACAGGGGAAUAACCUUUCGAAAGGGAGACUAACACCCCAUAGUAUUGAUUUAAGGCAUCUUAGAUUAAUUAAAUAUUUAUAGGUAUAAGAUGGGCAUGCGUAUGAUUAGCUAGUUGGUAAGGUAACGGCUUACCAAGGCGACGAUCAUUAGGGGUUCUGAGAGGAAGGUCCCCCACACUGGUACUGAGACACGGACCAGACUCCUACGGGAGGCAGCAGUGAGGAAUAUUGGUCAAUGGGCGCAAGCCUGAACCAGCCAUGCCGCGUGCAAGGAAGACGGCCUUAUGGGUUGUAAACUGCUUUUACAUAAGACUAACCGUAUAUUUGCGAAUAUACCUGAAUGUAUUAUGAGAAUAAGGAUCGGCUAACUCCGUGCCAGCAGCCGC
rnacentral:rRNA from 1 species